ensembl:snRNA U1 U1 spliceosomal RNA
CUACUCCACUGACCAGAUGUUUGACCUUCAAUCAACGUCUUCAUCCCACUGAACCACACUCAUGGCCCUCCUGAUGUGCUGACCCCUGCGAUUCCCCCAAAUGUGGGAAACGCGACUGCACGAUCUGUGGUCGCGGGGGACGGCGCUCUCGCUUUCCCCUG